rnacentral:rRNA from 1 species
UACGGGGGGAGCAAGCGUUGUUCGGAUUUACUGGGCGUAAAGGGCGCGUAGGCGGUCAGCACAAGUCAGUUGUGAAAUCUCCGGGCUUAACUCGGAAAGGUCAACUGAUACUGUGCGACUAGAGUGCGGAAGGGGCAACUGGGAAUUCUUGGUGUAACGGUGAAAUGCGUAGAUAUCAAGAGGAACACCUGCGGCGAAGGCGGGUUGCUGGGCCGACACUGACGCUGAUGCGCGAAAGCUAGGGGAGCGAACGGG